CCGGACCCCGGUCAACAGGCGAGACGGGUUGGGCGAUGCGCCUUUCCGCGGUCGCCACCCCUCGUCCUCCGUCGCGGGCUGCCGGGCUCGUUCCGUGCCCGUUCUGCACUUCUGCUACCGCGACCCAUUCUCCGAGGAAACACAUACACAACUUGAUCCAAAGGAUUCCGUUGACAUGAAUGCUGAUAUUCAAUCUUUUAUCUGAUAAAUGCUGGGCUAUGUACCUCAUUGUCGAUGCGCCAUGGACGCCAAGAUGCUUCUAUAGGAAGCCCAAGAUUGUCCAGCACAUAUUGUGUUGAAAUGAACGAACACACUGCAUCCAUAUCACCACUGGUACACAACGGCAUAGUUUAAUUCAUGUUCUUAUGAUGUAUCACACUGAGUUAGGUAUUUUCACACACAUAAAUCUGAACAUAUGUACCUGUACAACCAUAUUCUGGUGCCACUUGAAAUGAGUUUCUUUAUUGAUGGCA